rnacentral:rRNA from 1 species
CGUGCGGUUAAUCGGGAAAUUCUGGGCGUAAAGCGCACGCAGGCGGUCUGUCAAGUCGGAUGUGAAAUCCCCGGGCUCAUCCUGGGAACUGCAUUCGAAACUGGCAGGCUAGAGUCUUGUACAGGGGGGUAGAAUUCCAGGUGUAGCGGUGAAAUGCGUAGAGAUCUGGAGGAAUACCGGUGGCGAAGGCGGCCACCUGGACAAAGACUGACGCUCAGGUGCGAAAGCGUGGGGAGCAAACAGGAUUAG